rnacentral:rRNA from 1 species
CACGUAGGAGGCAAGCGUUGUCCGGAAUUACUGGGUGUAAAGCGCGUGUAGGCGGCAGGCCAAGUCUGUGGUGAAAUCGCUCGGCUCAACUGGGCGGGGUCCAUGGAAACUGGUCAGCUGGAGGACGGUAGAGGUGAGUGGAAUUCCCGGUGUAGUGGUGAAAUGCGUAGAGAUCGGGAGGAACACCCCGUGGCGAAGGCGGCUCACUGGGCCGGUCCUGACGCUGAGACGCGAAAGGCGUGGGGGAGCGAACGGGG